GCGAAUGAUCCGCCAGCCUCGGCUUCCCGAGGUGCCGGGAUUGCGGACGGAGUCUCGUUCACUCAGUGCUCAAUGGUGCCCAGGCUGGAGUGCAGUAGCGUGAUCUCGGCCCGCUACAACCUCCACCUCCCAGCCGCCUGCCUUGGCCUCCCAAAGUGCCGAGAUUGCAGCCUCUGCCCGGCCGCCACCCCGUCUGGGAUGUGAGGAGCAUCUCUGCCUGGCCGCCCAUCAUCUGGGAUGUGAGGAGCCCCUCUGCCUGGCUGCCCAGUCUGGAAAGUGAGGAACGUCUCUGCCCGGCCGCCAUCCCAUCUAGGAAGUGAGGAGCGUCUCUGCCCGGCCACCCAUUGUCUGAGAUGUGGGGGCGCCUCUGCCCCGCCACCCCGUCUGGGAUGUGAGGAGCGUCUCCGCCCGGCAGCCACCCCAUCCGGGAGGUGAGGGGCGCCUCUGCCUGGCCGCCCCUACUGGGAAGUGAGGAGCCCCUCUGCCCGGCCAGCCGCCCCAUCCGGGAGGGAGGUGGGGGGUCAGCCCCCCCGCCCGGCCAGCCGCCUCAGCCUCCCAAGUAGCUGGGAUUACAGGCGUGAGCCACCAUGCUUGGCUGAUUUUUGUAUUUUUAAUAGAGACGGAGUUUCACCAUGUUGUCCAGGCUGGUCUCGAGCUCCUGACCUCAGGUGAUCCACCCGCCUCGGCCUCCCAAAGGGCUGGGAUUACAAAUGUGAGCCACUGUGCCUGGCUUUUUUUUUUUUUUUUUUUUUUGAGAUAGGGUUUUACGCUGUCACCCAGGCUGGAGUGCAGUGGCAUGAUCACAGCUCACUGCAGCUUCGACAUCCUAGGCCCAAGCGAUCCUCCCACUUCAACCUCCUGAGUAGCUGGGACUACAGGCGUGCAGCACCAUGCCCAGAUCAUUUUUCAUUUUAUUAGAAACUGAGAUGUCGCUGGGUUGCCCAGGCUGGUCUUGAAUUCUUGGGCUCAGGAAGUCCUCCUGUCUUGGCCUCCCAGAAUGCUGGGCUUACAGGUGUGAGCCACCACACCCUGCCUAGUUUACUUUCUUAAUAUGUAGUAUUGAAACAGCUGUAUCAAAAAACAAAGUUAGAGCCAUACUUACUGCAUAUGAGCAGAAAUUCCAAUUGGAUCAAAGAUUAAAAUGCAAAAAAACAAAAAGAAAAUAUAAAAACAUGAUUUUAUGAGUGCAGAGUAAGGCCUUUCUUACCAUAUCACAAUAUCAAAAAUCCACCAAAAAGAAAUCAGUAAAUUUGGCUAAAUAAAAAAGUCUGCAGGGAAAUUGUAAAGUUCCAUGGUUUGAUUGUUUAUUCCCUCCACAACUCAUGUUGAAAUUUAAUUGCCAUUGUAACAGUUUUUUUUUUUUUUUUGAGGAGUCUCACUCUGUUGCCCAGGCUGAAGUCCGAUAGCACGAUCUCAGCUCACUGCAACCUCCACCUCCUGGGUUCAAGUGAUUCUCCUGCCUCAGCCUCCUGAGUAGCUGGGAUGACAGGCGUGCGCCACCACGUCUGGCUAAUUUUUGUAUUUUUAGUAGAGAUGGGGUUUCACUGUAUUGGUCAGGCUAGUCUUGAACUCCUGGCGUCAGGUGAUCCGCCCACCUCGGCCUCCCAAAGUGCUGGGAUUACAGGUGUGAGCCACCGCACCCGGCCUGUAACAGUGUUCAACAGUGUUCGGAGGUAGGACUUUUAAGAGGUGAUUAGGCCAGGAGGGCUUCACCCUUGUGUGUAGGCUUAACGCUAUAUCUUAUAAAAGGGCUUUGCCCUCAUCUGUAGUGGAUUAAUGCCAUCAUUGUAUAAAAGGGUACGUCUGGGGCCCUGUUGCUGCUUGCCUCUCCGCCCUCUGCCGUGUGAGUAACACGCUCCCUCUCCCUGGAUGAUGAACUUACAAGGCUCUGUCUUGGAAGCAGAGAUCAGGCCCUCACCUGGCACUAGGCCCGUCGCUGCUUUUUGCUUUCCAGAACUGUGCAUUUCUGUUAGUUAUACAUGUCCCAGUCUCAGGUAUUGUUACAGCAGCACAAAAUGGACUAAUGCAAUAAGCAAAGUCAAAUGAUAAACGACAAGUUUGGAAAAAUAUUUUCAACUCAUAUCACAGGCAAAGAGCUAAGUUCUCUGGUAUUUAAAGAAUUCCUACAAAUGGAUAAGAAAAAGAUUAACAGCCCAAGAGGAAAAUGGGCAAAAGACUUAAAUAGAUGGGCCGGGUGCGGUGGCUUACCCUUUCAUCCCAGCACUUUGGGAGGCCGAGGCGGGUGGAUCACUUGAGGUCAGGAGUUUGAGACCAGCCUGGCCAACAUGGCAAAACCCGGUCUCUACUAAAAAUACAAAAAUUAGCCAGGUGUGGUGGUGGGCGUCUGUAAUCACAGCUACUCGGGAGACUGAGGCAGUAGAAUCGCUUGAACCUGGGAGACAGAGGUUGCAGUGAGCCGAGAUGGUGCCAUUGCACUCCAGCCUGGGCGACAGAGCGAGAC
rnacentral:lncRNA from 1 species